rnacentral:rRNA from 1 species
ACUCAAAGGAAUUGACGGGGACCCGCACAAGCGGUGGAGCAUGUGGAUUAAUUCGAUACUAACCGAAGAACCUUACCCAGGUUUGACAUCGAUCGCAAUCCCUAGAAAUAGGGCCCUCUCCAAAAGAGACGUGAAGACACUUGUUGCAUGGCUGUCGUCAGCUCGUGCCGUGAGGUGUACGGUUAAGUCCGCCAACGAGCGCAACCCUCGUCCUGUGUUACCAGCGAGAAAGUCGGGAACUCACAGGAGACCGCCGGUGUAAGCCGGAGGAAGGUGGGGAUGAUGUCAAGUCAGCAUGGCAGUUACAUCUGGGGCUUCACACAUGCUACAAUGGGCGCACCAAAGGGCAGCAAUACCGCGAGGUGGAGCAAAUCCCAAAAAUACGCCCCCAGUUCAGAUUGUAGUCUGCAACUCGACUACAUGAAGUCGGAAUCGCUAGUAAACGCAGGUCAGCUAUACUGCGUUGAAUACGUUCCCGGGUCUUGUACACACCGCCCGU